AUCUAGGUUUUUUUAGAAACCCCCCCAAAUUAAUAAACAAUUUAGU
rnacentral:ncRNA from 1 species